rnacentral:lncRNA from 1 species
CAAAACCCUAAACCCCUUUACCAGACAAUCUAAACCCUUGUCAUCCUCCUCCCGAAGCCGCCAUCAAUAACUUCGCCCAACAUCUCCGUGAAACCAACCCUUGCGUGUUCAAAAAUCACGUCCGCACACUUAGCGAGAAACUCAAGCGCAUCGGUAAAGUGAAAUAGUCUGUUUCAAAAGGGACAGAAUAAGUGGGCAAAUGAUAUGGCCAUUAAGCAAUGAAAGCAAAUCAAAAUCCGUAGCUCUAAUCGGAUCUGUAAUAUUUGUGAAUUCUUCUCGAUAAAGUCACUCUGCAGUGACUUCACUGAGAGUAAGCAAGUAAUCCACCAAUAUUAGACCGUCGCUCGCCAAGAUUUUCAAGGACAGCAUGUUUUAAGUGGAGAGCCUUGGACAGUGCCUUAACCAUGCAAAGCUUUGGCUUGCAAAGUCUGAUAAGCCCAUUAUGCAUAAUUCUAAUGCUGGUCCAGCUACUCCUAUAUAUAUAGUUAUUCAAGGGAAUGUUCGCGAAUCUCUUACUUUUGCUACUUAUGAAGAACUCAAACUCACCAUGUUAGCAAAAAAAAAAGCAAUUGAUUACUACGGGUGUCGGCGAUGACUCUAAAAUUAUAAUACCGAUAGUUGUGAAGUCACUGCAGAGUGACUUUACCAGAAGAAUCCACAAAUGUUACAGAUCUGAUUAGAGUGACAGAUUUUGAUAUUUCAUUGCCGAGUGGCCACCUGCUCACUCUCUUUUGUCCCUUUUGAAACUGACUUUUCUAUUUCUACUUCACCGAUGCGCUUUAGUUUCUCGCUUAAGUGUGUGAGUGUCAUUAUUGAACACGCGCAGGGCUGGUUCCGCGGAGAUGUCGGGCGAAGCCAUUGGUGGCGGCCCCGGGGAGGACUGUAUUUGGACGUGAUUGAGGAGGAUGCAUGAGAGAGCUUGUUUUCUUAGCUGCAAAUCUACAAAUAUGAUACAUCAGGUUAAAGUGAUAGUUUUGAUUUGAUUUUAUUGCUUGGUGGGCUUCUCCUUUGUCCGCCCCCUCAUUCCCCUGUGUCAGACAAGCGUGCUCUUCAACCUUCACAUGCAAAGCUUCUUCAACCUUCACAUGCAAAGCUUCUUCAACCUUCACAUGCAAAGCUUUGGCCCGUAAGGUAUGAUAAACCCAUUAUGAAUGAUUCAAAUGCUACAUGUGAAUAUAUAUCUCAUAACAACUACGGAGUCAGCUAUAUGAAUUCUCUUUAAUCCAUUUUGUUCUAUUUGGGCACCUUUUAUUCUAC